rnacentral:lncRNA from 1 species
GAAAGUAGAAGGCAUUAAGGGGUUUUAAGCAUUGGGAGGGAGGUAGUUUGGGGACCGUGUGACGUGAGCAGAUUUGCAUUUCAGAAUGGUCAUUCCAGCUGCAGUGAGAAGGGGCUGGAGGGCUCAGGGUGGAUGUGGGAGGUCCAUCAAGGAGGUAGAUAUUGCCUCCAUUCUGAGCAAGACACAUGGAUGCCAACUUGGACUGGGAGCUGAAAACGGAGCAAAUGAACUGACCAAGCCAGUUUACCAAGGCAGAUGGAUGGGUGGUGCCAUCUGGAAAGAUGGAGCACUGGAAGAUGAUUGGAUUUGGGUGAAAAGAUCCUGAGAUCUGUUUGGGACAGAAUGGGUCUAGGGAGCCUUUGAAGCUUCCAAGUGGAAAUAACAGUGAUGGAUGGGUCUGGGAUGGAGACAUGCAUUUUGAGAGUCAUCUGCACACAGACUGCAAUGGAAGAUAUGGACAUGAACCAGAUUGCUUCAUAUCACCACUUAAAGCCACCUUCUCUCUCCAGUCACUCCACCUGUGCCUGCCCCCCAUGCAGGGAGACAGGUCUCUGCUGCCUCACAGUGACCCCACAGGCCCCUGUACGAGCUCCUGCUGCUACAGUGCCUCUUGUAUUGUUUUACGGCCACUCGCUUACAUGUCCGUUUUCCCCACUUAUGAUCCAGGAACACCGUGAGGACAGAGACACAUGGCUCUCCUUCUGAUGUCCUCAGCACACAGAGCACAUCCUGACCCUUUUGUGAGCAGUAAGUUACAGGCCCACUUUUCCGACCCACCACAAAGCCCCAGUGCAAUGUUCCUCCAGAAAGAGGUGAAAAUGCUGGCCCAGACCCAAGAGCCUCAUCUAAAACCCAGUCUCAGAGUCCUCAGAGGGGAAAGUAUCUCACUUGCACAUAGAAACCAAGAUGGGCACUGAAGAAUUUUAAAAAGAGAAUGGUACUGAUGUUUUCCCACUGUUACUACAGAUAAGCAAGCACUCAGGGAAUUUAUGGGAGAUGGAUUGACAGGUAGAGAAAUGGGUAAGCUCGGUCCUCAAGGAGCUUCCAGUACCAUCUCUUACUCAGAACUCGCUGUGCUCAUUAUAAGUCAAAACAAAGUUAUGUGUAUUUCAUGUGCAAUAUCUACAAAAAGUCAAAGCCUCAGUCCUCAAGGAGCAUAUAAUUUCAAGAAAAUAUAGAACAAACAUAGAUGAAAAUUUAACUCUAUCAAUACACACAGAGCCACCCCUACCCUCUCCAGUGCCUUUUUCUAAUUAGAAAAAGGUGCCUUUCCUCUAGGCAGACAUGGCACCUCAGUCAGCAGGGUAUGUGACUUGGCUGGAUUCUGGAUUUAAGCCCAUGUCCCCCUACACUGACCUGACAUCUUUGUGCAGUGCACAACCUGCACAACACAUAUAUGACAGGAGUAGCAGGUGCUGAUAACAAGGAGGGAUUGAUAUAGGAUGGAUGAACAGAGACUAGCUAGAACUGAUUGGGUAAGAACAGAAGAAACAACUACAAGGAAUGCCAGAGGCAUAUCCAGUGACAAAUCAGAUUUGACCAAGGCAAAGGGUACACUUGAUGGAGUAAGGAAAUGAGAUUGGGAAGCUUAGUUGGGAAGUAAUUAGGGAAGGCCUCAAACACCAGGCUAAGGAGUUUGCACUUGACCUUGCAGGAACUGACCCCUGCCUAGGGUCAUUAUCCUCCUUUCACCAAAGUAGUGCCACAGAGCAUUGGCUGCCAGUAUCAAUUCUCACCAAAGAAAGUGCCCACUUGCACCCUGAAGGUCAUGAAAGAUACCAGGUGACAAGAAAACAACUAAAUAUCUUUGUGCUGACACAGAACCCCUAAUAAGGUCUAAUCCCUUGCAUUUGUAGCCUGCAUAAAAAUAUAUGUUUUAUAUCCAAUAUAUUUAUUGUUACAAUAGUCUCCUUUGAUUAACAGGAUAAGAAAGCAGGGCAAUUAAGGACCUUGGUGAAAGUCAAAGAAAAAAUCCACAGGGGCAAAGCUGUGACUUGAACCCAGGUCUAUCACUCAGAAUCUGAUGCUCAAGGGCACUCAGCCUCCCUGCACUUGCCUCAGCAGGGUCCCUCUCUCACCAGUCACCACACUGACUACUUGAGUUUGCCAGCCCUGGGUCCUUUCCAAGAAAAGACAAAGCUUCCAAACAAGCAGUAAUGACAUUGAUUAUUCCAAGCCAGAGGCAGGGGAUUCUGGAUCAUUUCCUUAAAAUACUUGCUCAGCAGCACCCGGGUCCUCACCCCCACCGCCCCUGGUCCCAAGAAAGAUAUGUACAGUACUUCAUUAACAUGAAGGGGAGAAUAAUUCCCUGUGGAUUUUUGCAGUCUCAUUUCCCUAGCUUGUCAAAUGCCAGCAGCAAGCCAGUCUGGCUGCAUUGUUAGCUUGGCUGCCUCUUAUUUUUGUAGUGUUUUGCAGAUUGCAGCAGCUUUUUUUUUCCAGCUAGGUGAAAACAUAUCACCUUUAAGCUUCCUGGUGUAUCACUCAAAAGAUUUUCCUAUUCUCCUUGGACUUCAUAAUACAGAAUUCUCUUCUGCUAUCACAAGCCAUUUUUUUUUCUCCAAGAAAGAACAUAACAUUUAUUUUUAAUACCAUACUCCAAGAUAUGUGAUCAAAAUGUAAUUUAAAAAAAAAAACAAAUAAAUAAAAGACUUUCCAAUAUGUCACGCAAAAAAUAAAAGACAUGCUGUUCAAAAGCUAAAUUUCAGUCAUCGUAUUUACAUUCCUUUUUUUUCUGCUUCACCCUUUUGUUACUAAGGAAGUUGGAAUGAAAGGGGAUUUGUCUCUUUUUCUCAAAAACCCAUCUCUCGCUGCUAAGUUUCUCCACACCUGAAUUCACACAUCUCCCACAUCAUGAUAAUUACCUCCAUGGUAACCACUCAUGACAUCACAAACACAAUGUGAUAGCAGAAGAAAUAAGAGCUCCUGAGACCCUGCUGGAUACAAAUGCCCUGUACGACCUAAGGGCCUCCACAGCAGGAACAAAAGGAAUUUUGUCUGAGAUUUUAGCAGAAAAGUAAUUUUUGAAAUCUAUUCUUGGAUUUAGACGUUUAUUGGAUUUCAAAGCUUCUUGCUGCCCAGGAGCUUGUGAAUACGGUCAAAGGUCCAUGAAAUUUCCAAAGUGGUACCACAGCAGAUGAACCUGAAUGCAAACUGGAGGGACCAACAGAGUCCAGCCUAUAGACAUAAAUCCUUAACUACACCUAGAUCUCACUGUCUUUUCCAAUGGUCAAAAGAGGGGCUCUUGAAAUGGCUCCAUUGUUUUAUAGAAACAAGGUCUUCCUAAGAAGUCUUUUUCUCCUAUCUUUUUCUUACCCAAAAUAAAGGAAUGGCCCAAAACCUCAAGCCAAGCUUACCAGCUAUAAACAACUUGGUGGUCAGCAGCCAAAAGAAGAGUGGACAUGCCAUGGUCAUGUGGCACGUACCCUAUACAAGCUUCACAGAGAAGAAUGGAAGCACUUGAUUGUAAGACAGAGGGUGAGAUGUGAGAGGAAUAUUAACCUUCACUUUCCACAGGCAUUUUUUUCUGCAAAUGGCACCAGCUUUUGGACUUAAAAUUUUAUUCCAAAUACUAUUUAGAUGCAUCAGGGCCCUCAAAAUAUGGAUUUCAAGUUGGAGACAUCAAAGUGCAUUAUUUACUAAAACCACUGCAGCUUUUUUCCCCUCUCCUUUCACAAGAUGCUAUUGUAAAUUCAGGCUGCUUUAAUCUCUGUGAUUAAAAAAAAAAAGGAAGAAAGAAAAAAAAAGUGCUGCUUGAAGAGGAACUGAACUCACAAUCUGGGAGCUAGAAAGUAAAUAUUACCCAGAGAGUACCUCACUUUAAUUACUGGCCUGAACAUUGGUUUCAAUUUACAUGUAUUUUAAUUAGCCACAGAAGGGUUCACCUAUUACUCUCUGAAUACAAAACUUAAAAAGCAAACAGAAAAUAGGGAAAGAAAGGCUUAUUUAAGGGCCUCCAAGGAUUAAUCUUUGCAUUCUUCUCAUUUUUUCCCCGAAUUUGGGGAUAAAAUUUGUCGCAGGGAAUUUGAUCUUAGGGAAACAUUGAGUUUGGUUUGUGAACACAAGCUACUUCUGAACACUAUUUUAGCAAACAGAAUUUUAGAAGCAUAAGGCUCUAGCAGAGGGCUAUACAGAAUUUUGCAUAAACUAAAUAACAACCGUUUCCUCCUGAAAUGCAGGAAAUCAAGCUGCACGGUCCUUAGGUCUUCAGCAAAGCUUGGACCACUUGGCAAAGUCUUCUGUCUCCAGAGGAAUGAUGGGAAAACUAUGGGACAAAAGUCAGGAGAGUGGUGCUGGCUGAUCCUGGCCUGGACAUUGACUCCCUGGGGACUUUGGUGCUCUCUCGUGCUCUCUCUGUCUCCAGUGAUAAGCUGACCAGAUGCCUUGAAUUAAGUACAGUAUGCAGCAAUGCCAGCCCUGGACUUUUCCCCAACCUAUCACCCAACCCACUUACCUGGAGCCAAGGGUCACCAACAUCUCUAAUAGAAUCCAACUGUGGAAUAGAAAAACUAUUUCGUCUAAGAAGUGGAUCCUAGCUGUCAAAUAAAAAAUCGCUGUUGAA